rnacentral:lncRNA from 1 species
AUGGUUGUAGAUGUUUUCAGAGGAUCUGCUGCUGCUGUUGGAGUUCAGCGGAUCAGAAGAAGCUGCAGGGCGUGGUUUAAACAUCAGCUGCGGCGUAAACUCCUCCAGAUAACGGCUGGACGGUUUCCUGCACAGGAAGAUGAAGAUCUUAUCCAGACGCUUACUGGAUCUGCAGAUACCAGAUCUUCUGCCGGCUCCAUCCGCCGGAGCCAAACCAAUCAGAUCUUUCAUCUGAAGACUUCAUGAAUAUUUGACAACAGAGACAAACUCCAUCUUUAUGUUGCAUCAAACUCAGGUCAUAAAAACAGAUUUUAAUCUAUCAGAGUUUACAUGAUGAUGUUUCCACUUUUCUUUUUGUGAAACAGUUUUAAAGUCAGGAUUUUCUGGUGAUAAAGAUCUCAAACGGAUGUAGGAACCUGCUGAAGAACCCAGGUGUUCCUCAGAAUGCUCCAGACCAUCAUUCUACCACCACCAUGCGCUCUGAUGUUUUUUGUCUUAAAAAAACGUGUUGGAAUCCAGAAAGUUCUUCUGUCUCAUCAGAACAUCAGUGGAUCAUCCAGACGUUCCAGCAGAACCAAACGUCUCUUUUUGACAGUUGGAUCGUGACCUCUGACCUCCUGGAUCAGAUCUGGUUGUGUUUCUGGACUCAACCCUGAAUGUUCUGCACAGUUCUAUUGGGUCAAAUCAGGACCAGGAAAAUGUAAAAACAGGCAUUGUAAAUAUAAAAAAAGAACAUUUGAAAGCAGUUUUGAACUUGAAAAUACGUGUUGAAAACUUGAAGAAAUUGUUGAAAAUUUUAAAAAAUAAUAUUGAAAACUUGAAGGAAAUAUUUAGAAAAAAAAAACAUUUGAAACACGGAUUAAAAUGUUUUUUUUUUAUCAAUUUUAAAAAUAAUGUUUUGUUUUUCUUUCAACUUUUUUUUCAUUUACAUGUUUGUUUUCAGUUUCAACUCUUUCAAGAGAAAGAAUCUGGAGAAUACUACUGAAAAAAAAUAUGGCGCCUGA